CAACUAAUCGUGUGUUGUCGAGGUUGAUGUCACUUCUGUUUGGAAACAUUUACACGGCUGUAUAUAACAGAUUUUGGUGCGGUGAAGCUUAAUUAUUUGUCUUGAAAUUCCUCACGAUAUUUGGAUAAAGAUGAUGAUUCUACUAACGUUAUUGAUAACACUUAUAUUGACCGACAUUAAUCUAGUCAUAGGACAGGCUCAGGGAAUGACUGGUACUGACUCUUCAACAAGGGCAGUUGUAAGUUGCAGUGGACAACGUGUUUUCAAGAAGGUUGACAUCACUCCUGAAUCAUCCUUGGAACAACUUUACUCUGUUAAUACCAGUGAUGUGUAUAGAUGCUGUGAAUAUUGUUUAGUUGAAACAAGUUGCUUGUCGAUUGAGUUUGAAUUGGUUACUAAAACAUGCCAUCUUUACGCUGAAAGAGUCGUCCACAUAGGCUCUGAGGCCCCGUCAACUGAUACGACAGUGGUUUAUUACUGGAAAACUGAAGAUAAAUGUGACACCAGUCUAGGAUAUGAAAGUAUAAGUGACGUCAGUUCCUGUAUUAAGUUGCACACUAACCUAUCAACAUGGGACGAAGCAC